AACGAACGCUGGCGGCAUGCCUAACACAUGCAAGUCGAACGAGACCUUCGGGUCUAGUGGCGCACGGGUGCGUAACGCGUGGGAACCUGCCCUUAGGUUCGGAAUAACUCCCCGAAAGGGGUGCUAAUACCGGAUAAUGUCUUCGGACCAAAGAUUUAUCGCCUUUGGAUGGGCGCGCGUUGGAUUAGCCAGUUGGUAGGGUAAAAGCCUACCAAGGCGACGAUCCAUAGCUGGUCUGAGAGGAGGACCAGCCACACUGGGACUGAGACACGGCCCAGACCGCUACGCAGGGGAGCAGUGGGGAAUAUUGGACGAUGGGCGAAGGCCUGGUACAGCAAUGCCGCGUGAGUGAGGAAGGCGUUAGGGUUGUAAAGCUCUUUUACCCGGGAUGAUAAUGACAGUACCGGGAGAAUAAGCUCCGGCUAACUCCGUG
rnacentral:rRNA from 1 species